GGCUCGGUAGCUUAGUUGGUAAAGCGCUCGUCUAGCAUACAAGAGUCCUGGGUUCAAAUCUCAGCCGAGCAC
rfam:Aedes aegypti strain Liverpool supercont1.114 genomic scaffold, whole genome shotgun sequence.